rnacentral:lncRNA from 7 species
AUCACCGCCGCCAGCACUGCGUCCUUGGCCGGGCCCGGGUACCCAGCCGUGAGGAGGGUGGCAGGGCGAGGCCGGACCCCCCAUCCCCUGACGGCCGCCGCUUUCCUGCAGAUCACGCCCCUCUGUGCCUCAGUUUCCUCCCUGCGAGCUGACAGUAAUCUCUUGUUACCGUUGCAAAGGGAAAUUAGUCGCGGUUUCGCACGUGUUCUGAGCCUGCCUGACGCGAGCCGAGCCUUCGCCCUUCCCUUCGGGGUACCCAACUCGGACAUCCCGUCCCUUUCGGAUCCCUUUCUCGGGAGCCGCUUUGCACGGGCUACGAGCGGGUCCUGCCGCCCCGGGGAGCCGGCAGAGCGCCUUUGGGGCCGUUCUGCCUUCGGAGAGGCGGGUGGGGGGGGCUGGCUGGGGAGGAGGGCUUGUUUUUCUCUGCCUUCGAUUGAGCGUUUGAAUGAAUUAAAUUUCCGUGUCAGGUAUGAGGAAGGUAGGAGAAUAUUGUGUGUAGAUAAACCUUGCCACCCCCUGCCCCUGAGAGACCCCCAUAUACAAUGUAGAGAUGAUGAAUAGGUUCUGGGAGAGGAGAUCGAAGUUCAGUCCGCACCGGCUCCACUCUCUCCUACAAAACUAUAGGGCAAUUAAUUGUGGCUUGUCCCCUCAUCCUUCAUCUCCUGGUGGCACAUAUCGAUGGAGAUUACUGCUGAUGGACCAUUUUAUCACCCUAAAUAAACAGUCACCACCUUCCCUAACCUCAAUCUAAUAUACGGCUAUCUGCUAUAUUUAAGGGUGCUGGGUAACUAAUGAUGUAAAACAGCUAAAUCGUACAGGUUACCGGCAGCCUGAAGAAAACAUCCCAACAGCCCUGGCGCCGAACGGCUUCGCCCUACACCCUUACGCCCCGACACGGAAUGGGACCGCUGGUGCGGGUGACGCCCGCGCUCCGCACGGCGCGUUCGCUGCCGGGCCACGCCGGUGCGUGCCGGCACGGCCAGCAGUCCCGCAGCGGCCGCCCGUCCUCUCCCGGCCGCUCCUCACCCCCAACCCCCGCCGGCAAACGUCCUUCCGACCUCGGAGCUGGGAGGAAAGCGGUGCCCGUCCGCUAGCCGUGUUAUAGGGGUUUUAACACGGCCCCCUGCGAGCCGAGGCUGCAGGGCCCUAACCAGCGCUGUAUUCGCUCCUUAAACACGCGUGCAGUUCAACGCGUUUCCACGCUGACGCUUCGCCCGCGGCUCCCCGGUCGGACUCGCCCCCCACGCCGCGCUGUGCCCGCGGGUACCGCAGCGAGGCCGUACGUCCGCCGUCCGCGGGGGUAUCUCGGGGCCGGAGAGGGGGAGGUUCCCCUGUGCGGAGCGGGGAGGGGGGGGUCACACGCGGGGGAAGCGGGGGAAGGGGAUGCCCGGAGCGGGGCGUCUGGCAGAGACGGGGGCUCGGAGCUCUCGCCGGCAGCUUCUCCCCGCUGCCGCCGGGAUGAGCGGCCGAGUGG